ACGUCCAUUUAAGACUUAUGGGGAAACAGCUCCCAUGUUGCAGCUGAUGCUGACAUUUGUUUCAUAGUUUCUCAGUCACAUUUCUGGGAAUGUCCUCAGGUCUGUCAGACCAAAUCAUGUGGAGGCUGCAUCGGUUCAAAAGAUCUGAAAUGGAAUCUUCUUUGUUGACUUAGGUCUAUUUUGUCCGUUUUGCGUCAUCGUGAAACCUUUUCCAGCAUAGACACUGACCUUGACAGGACGAGGAAACCUCAUGGGGACCUAAUAAGGAUAGCUGCACAAAACCUGUGCGGGUGUGUGUAUUUGUGUGUGCAGUGCUGCAUGCUAAAAAUGGGUUUGAGGUCUGAAACAGCAUUUUAUAGUUGCAGAGGACUCAUUGUCUGCACCAAGUCCCCUGAUGCUUGUGGCUUAUUCAACCCUGAGAACCAGCAUCGACAUUGUGGAAUGUAAAAGAGCUAAAAAUGUCUUGUUGGUGACUGAGUACAGCUGAUUCGCAACUUAAAUGGGGUCAAAUAUGAUCAUGUUACAUAACUGAGAAUGGAGAACCACUACAAAAUAAUGUAGCCAGAGGUACCUAAUGGUUCUAUAGGGUCUGACUUAACACUGAAAUCUUCUGCCUUCACAACGAUUAUAUAAUAGUCCAGAAUGGGGCUAUACCUCCACCAAGGCCAAAUACCUCCGCUACUGCACAUGAGAACACUUUUGUCCUUAACUGGAAAUACAUGGAAAAAGAAGAUAAAGAAAUGCUGUUGCAAUCGUUUUACAUAGGAUCCCAUAUAAACGUGGCAGUGUCAUUUUUGACGUAUAUUUCUUUUGUUUCCCUGCUUCCUUUUCUGUGAAGGCAACACCUAGAAUAACAGCCCUUUCUUUUGAAAAUAUGAAUAAUUGGAGAUUGUGAGCGGAGCGGAUGUAAAAAUGCUAUGACAGUUUCUUACACGCUUCCCUCAUUUCUUUUCAGCAUCACAGCGAAAUACAUCCACUUCAUAUGCUUAUAAAAUCAACAACAUACACAUUCCCUCUAUCUGUACUUUCCAUUCCACUGUUGUGAAAACCACGAAAACAUAUUUAAAAUAAAGUGACAAGUUUCCAAAACCAAGCUCCAUAGCUGCAGUGUGGUCUGGAGUUUUGCGGUACUUCCCAAAACUGAAUAAUAUAGGAAAGGUUUACCUAUGAUUAGUAUGUUACCUCCGCCUCUGUGCUUGAAUGUGUGCUGGCACUCACACGUAGCUUUUAGAAAACAGCUAAAAAAUAAUUUAAUAGACCUGAUUUCAGAGCCAUUGGCAGGGGAGAACAACUCAUACCCCAGGGCCCUGGAAAAAGGCAGGGAGAGAGGGAGAGAUGGAAGGGAUCACGGCACAACGGUAAAUAAUGUUACAGUAUGAAUAAUGAGAUCCCUUUGUGCCGGGGCCUCAACUGGACUAAUAACAGAGACCUGUUUUAGAUUAUGUCUUACACAAACAUACGCGCAAACAUGCAUACAUGGGCAUAACGCAAAACACACUCAGACGAGAGGCCCUAUCAGCUUAGAUAAUGUGUCCACGGCAGGAAGAACACUGGGAGGAAACAGAGGAGGCAGAGGGCCGCUCACACAUCUUCAGUCACUCUUUAACCUUUUACUUUGAAUUGUAACGUGUGUUUCUUCUCCAUCCGUUUCACUCUUACCACCUAUUAAAGGCUGGAACUCAAAUGUCCUCCAGCAGUUGGUUAGGUUUUCCAGAGAUAUAUAAUAUUUAAUACAUCAACUAUGCAGCCAUACAAGUUCUUAUUGUGGUAGAGGUCUGCCACCUGCUGUCAGCAGUAGGUUGGUUUCAAGAAGGCAAACAUGCAAUGAUAAGCACAUCAUGAUUUAUUUUAUUUUUGUAAACUCCAGCUUUCUUUGUCAGAAUCUCCAAAUUAAAAAAACAACCAUUCAACCAAAUUAAAUGUCUGUCUCUUUCAUCUAUAAACUUCAAACUGUUUGUGAUUUUCAGCAGUCCUCUAUACAGUAGCUUUUAAAAUAGUGAUAUCUUGUUAACUUUAGCAGAACGUGGUGCUGUUCACAUUCUCCAGGCACAUUAGUCUAUAAAUAAAAAGGAUACGGUCUCCGAAUAUAGGUAUCAGGUUCUAAGUCAAAUUCUCCCUUAAGGGGGGGUUAGUUGUCUAAAUUUAACAUGAUUAGAAGGCGAGGACAUUAAAAAAAGAAAUCAAUGUACAUGUUUCAUCAUGUUUAUUAUCUACAUAUGACAAAAAUGUCAUUAUAUACACCUCAAACAGUGAAGGGCCGGCCAAUCUGCUGUGGUUUUUAUUAGAUACAUUCUGUUUCCAUCACUCAUUUAGGAUAUGCUGGUCGUUGAGCAGAUUUAUUCAACAUAAAGCAUAUCUGCAGAGGAAUGUGGAUAUACACUGUGGAUUCAUGUACAUCAUGGCUGCAGAUCCUCUGCCAAAAACAGGAAUACUGGAGUUAAAUCUAAGCUCAGCACCGUGAUACUAGUUCAUGUUCCUUCAGCUGCUUCCUCCUUGGUCAAUUCUAGGUUUCAAAAUGGCUCCGACCUGUUGUUUCAGUCUCAGUUAACAUCCUGCCCACAGCUUCUGGCUCCACUGCCAAUGACAGACUUAGGCAGGGCAGGGUGAGAGAA